rnacentral:rRNA from 1 species
UACGUAGGUGACCAGCGUUGUCCGGAUUUACUGGGCGUAAAGAGCGCGCAGGCGGUCGUUCAAGUCGAGUGUGAAAGCCCCCGGCUCAACUGGGGAGGGUCAUUCGAUACUGAUCGACUCGAAGGCAGGAGAGGGAAGCGGAAUUCCCGGUGUAGUGGUGAAAUGCGUAGAUAUCGGGAGGAACACCGGUGGCGAAGGCGGCAUCCUGGACCAAUAUUGACGCUGAGGAGCGAAAGCCAGGGGAGCAAACGGG